rnacentral:rRNA from 1 species
UACGUAGGUGACAAGCGUUGUCCGGAUUUACUGGGCGUAAAGAGCGCGCAGGCGGUCGUUCAAGUCGAGUGUGAAAGCCCCCGGCUCAACUGGGGAGGGUCACUCGAUACUGAUCGACUCGAAGGCAGGAGAGGGAAGUGGAAUUCCCGGUGUAGUGGUGAAAUGCGUAGAUAUCGGGAGGAACACCAGUGGCGAAGGCGGACUUCCUGGCCUGUUCUUGACGCUGAGGCGCGAAAGCUAGGGGAGCAAACGGGG